UACGUAGGCAGCAAGCGUUGUUCGGAGUUACUGGGCGUAAAGAGUGUGUAGGCGGUGCUCUAAGUUCGGUGUGAAAUCUCCUGGCUCAACUGGGAGGGUGCGCCGGAAACUGGAGUGCUUGAGCGUGGGAGAGGAAAGCGGAAUUCCUGGUGUAGCGGUGAAAUGCGUAGAUAUCAGGAGGAACACCUGUGGUGUAGACGGCUUUCUGGACCAUAGCUGACGCUGAGACACGAAAGCGUGGGUAGCAAACAGG
rnacentral:rRNA from 1 species